rnacentral:lncRNA from 1 species
GCCUGGGGUCCUGGCUAAUCUUGUCAGUAUAGCCAGGCGUGUAUCAAUGAACUGCCUGUCAAUGAUUGGUUAAUACUAAUUUUGUCCUCAAUGUUUGUUUAACAUCUGUAUCCAAUCAAUUCUUGUUUAACAUCAAUUAGUAAAAAUUAGACUGUAAUUAUUUUUCUUUAUGAAUUGAUGUAUAGUGUUAUCAUAUCUAAUUAUUAGUAUGAUGAUAAUUAGUAAGCAGAAAAGGGUUCAUUCUUAUCAGCAAUCGCCUGGUGAGAAAGUUAAAAGUUUAAGAUUUCACAUGUCCAAGGUGUCAAUUGGAUUCCAAUUGUGCUGGUUUACAUCAAACAUCAAAAUUUAUGCAAAUAUUUAUUCAGCCUCACUUUAGAUUCAGAGUCAACUGGCACUGAAUCGAUCACAUGGUAUUUGUUCCCCACCUGGCCCUUACGACGCGCAGCUAGAUUGGGCCGGAUCCCAGGCUACCUAUUGA